rnacentral:lncRNA from 1 species
AUGCUCAAUUCCUUACUUAGCUGGUGUGGAGUGUGUUUGUGUUUGGAGGGUAACAGAGGAGGAACAGGAUAUAGCAUUCAGAGUUUAGGGAGAAUGGUGCAGGGAUCUCAAACUACCAGAUAAUGAUGUAGAUUUUAGGGUUACUGGGUUGGGAUGUUCAGUUCUGCUUCUGGUGAUCCACCCUCCUCUUUAAGUGAACCCCAAGACCUUGAUUAGCUGGUUCAGGUGAGUUUGGAGGCUACAGGAAGGCAAAUCUCCAGGAGCAGGAACAAACUGCCAGUUAGGGUUACGGUUUAGGAUAGAGUUACGCAAUAAGAUUACAAGUUUAGGGAGUAGGGUGCAGGGAUCUCAAACUCAUGGCUAACACCACCCUACUAGGUCAUUUGCGUUCAAAACCGCUGAUGUAAGGUUCAGGGACAUAGGGUUGGGGUUAGGGUACUUAAUCCCGCUCCUGGUGAUCUACCUUCCUCUUUAAGCAAAUCCCAGGAUAUUGUUUAGCUGGUUUAAGUGUGUUUAAAGGGUUGGAACUGAAGACUACAGAAAGCUGGAUCUCCAGGAGCAGGAACAAACACCCCUGGUUAGGCUCUAAAAUUUAGGAUAGGGUUCAGAUAUAAUAUUCAACUUUAGGGAGCAGGGUGCAGGGAUCCUAAACUACCAACUAAGACCACUUUACUAGGUAAUUUGCAUUCGAGACCCCUAAUGUAGUGUUCAGGGUCAGAUGCUCAGUUCCAUUCUUUGUGAUCUACCUCCUUUAUAAGUAAACCCCAAUACCCUGAUUAGUUGGAUUAAGUGUGUUUAAAUAGAGCUGGAGAUGAAGCUGGCUUUCCAGGAGCAGGACUGGACACUCCUUAUUUAGGGUGUAAGGGUCAGGAUAGGGUUAAGGUUAGGAUAUAACAUUCAGAAGUUUAAAGAGUAGAGUGCAGGGAUCUCAAACAACAAUCUAACACCACCUCCACAAUAAGUAAUUUGUGUUCGAGAUCCUUGAUGUAGGGUUCGGGUCUUAGGGUUGGGGUUAGGGUUAGGGCAGGGAAUUCAAUAUCUCCAUGAGAAGGACUGAGUACCCCUGGUUUAGAGAUGUAUCUGUAGUACCUAGUUCUCCCACCGUAAGGCUUCACACCUGUACCUGAACUGGCCGUGCAUUUAACAGCAGGCCCCAUAAGUGCAUUGGUUUUCAUCGUAAUGUUUUGUACCUCCGUAGAAAGUGAAAAGCUCUCGCUGUCAUAAGCACCACCUUAACUCAAUG